CAAAACAGUGCUGGCCCGCAGCCAAGACAUGGCACUGACGGGGGCUCCCGACCAUUUGGCUCUUGAUUCUUUGGGGAAAGCAGCUGUAGAGAAAGGAGAAUGCACAACACCCUCGUCACACGCGCACUCACACGCGCACACCCUCGACCGCACGCAUUCCGGUACCGUCACCUCGGAGCCGUUAAGACUUGGGAUCCAAAUGAAGUUCUGCUGCCUACCGCCACGAGCCCUCCAGCGUCGUCCCCCACGAGCCUCCCUGCCCCCUGCUCCUGAUUCCCUUUCAGGAAUUUACAAACAUUUUCCGCAGAUCAAUAUCUGUAUUGAUUAUUCAUUGUGAGUGAGUCGUGUGUCUUUGGUGAUCCGGCUCGCAGAGGUAGCAGCCAAAGCCUGCUGCAGGGGAAAAAAAAAAAAAAUAACAGAAGGCGAGAGGGACCCAGCUCUUGCUGGGUCUGCGGCUGUCGGCGACACAGAAAGGAAGAGGAAACGAGGAAGGCACUGGGAAAUGAAGGAGUGGACAAGGGUGGAAGAGAAAGAGGGAGCAACAGCAAGAAAAACCAAGUGAUGAUGGGCACCUGGUUCCAGGGAUCUCGGUGGCUUGGAGGAAGCCCCCAUCGUGGUCUGCUGCUCCGUGCACCGUGCAGCGGACUCCCUCGGCUCUGGGAGUGAGAAGUGACUCACAGUUUUGGUAUCUCCUACGUAAGAGCUUUGGGGGGAUUCCUUGGCUUGCUGACAAGGACAGGAAGAAAGCAGCAGCAGCGAGGUAAAACACGAUUACUUCCAACUGCCUUGUGGAGGAUAUGCAGUCGCUUGGUUCGACUGGAACAGCUUGCCGCUCUCUGAUGGCACGCGGAGGGAGAAUAAUUAAAAAGGCCAGCAUCACUUGCUAAGAAGCUGCUGCAAUGUUACAAAAAUAUCCUGGAAAAAGGAGGUUGAGGAGAUUCGGUUUUCCGUAGACUGGGCUUCUGGCGAUGGUGCCAGGUGAUUGUCUUUUGCCAUUUGAACCACCAUGCGGGAGCUAGUUUGGGGUUCCUCUUCUGUUGUCACCCAGCUGUGGCAUGAACUCUACAUCUCAAGUGGGUAAGAAAAAAAAAAAGAUAGAAAUCCCCAGAAGAGAGAUCCUGCACGUAGUUUGGAAGAAAUUUUUCCCAUGGCACCUGAUAUAACUUCAGCAGGAAAAGGCAUCUCAGCAGAUGGUAACGGGCAGCAAGGAGGCCCCCCUCUCUCACAAGUACAAUAGGGCCUUCCAAUUUCCAAGGUGUUCUUCAUGCGUAUUAUCCUGUUUAAUUCUCACUACAACCCAGCAAGGCAGAUUGUAUUUAGCUUGUUUUGCAUGUGAGGAUAUUCAGGCUCUGGGAGAUGACGAAACUGCAUCAAGUUGGAAGCUGGUAAGAGGCAUUCACGGAUUCUGAGUCUUAGCCUCAUGCUGUUUCAUUAUUCUUCAUAGAUUCUUCUAGAAAUAUCCUCUUCAGAACCCCUUACCCAAGGCUUCCUCUAUUCUUGAUCCUCUCUCAUCCUCCCCACCCUUACUCCCUCACUAUGAGGUUCUCAUUUUGUAAUCUGUGUAAUUUGUAGUCAUGUGCAAUUUGAAAAUGCUCCUUAUACCCUGCCAGCAGUUAAGAACCAGGGCUAAGUUUCAACUGGCAAUGGCAGAAACCUUCUUUAACUUUUCACUUUCUCUUAUCUGCGCCCCCCGCUCUGCUCCCUUGUUCCCUUGAAAGUCAGGUUUAUCCACAGCCAGUCUACAUUUGCCCUGUUUUUAGCUCUUUGCUUUCUUUUGCAUCUCUAACAAAGCACUUUGCUUCCAUUUCUACUCCCCAUUAAAACUACCUCAGGUCAUUAAUGACCAAUUCAAUUGUACUUUCCUUCCCCAUAGUUACAGUCUCUUGACCACUCCCUCCUCCAUGACACUCUUGUCUUCUUACCUAUCUGAUACGAUGCUAUGCUAGAUUUGCUCCUUUAUUUAUGGCUGCUUCAUCUCAGACUUAUUCUUCCUUUUUAAUCCCUUUAAUAUUAGUGUUCCCCCAAGUGGUUUCUGUGGUUCUCCUCUAUUCUCAACUGCCUUGUGUAAAUGUAAACCCUUGAUUUCAAUAGUCAUCUCUAAACUAAUCAUCAAAUUCUCGUCUCCAGCCCAAACCACUCUCCUGAACUCAGCUCUGGAUAUCUGGCUGCCUGCUGACAUCUCCUCGGGCACUCCUAACUCAAUACCCUCUAAACUUACCAUCAUCCCCAAACCUUCUCCUUCUGGAUCCCUUUUCCUUCACCCCUCUCACUGCCAACUGCUCUUUGAGUUCUUUCAAUGCUACUUUCUUAAUUUCUCUCUAACCACUCAUUUUCACUAAAUUCUGAUUGCUCCUCUCUUGGUUUAUUUUCCCAGUGGCUUUCUAAUAGCCCAGCUGUUCUCUUCAUUCUCAGACGAGCCCAGCCCACAAUGCAUUCUCUGUACUACUUCUAACUCAUCUAUAGAACAUGCAAAUAUGACCAUUUUGCUUGCCUCUGUGAACCUUCAGUGGACUCUUUCUAACUUGGUCUUCAAGGCUCCUCAUGAUCAGGGCCUUGCAUCUUCCCAGCCUUCUUUCUUAAAAUUCUUCCAUUUCUCACCCUAUAUUACAGGUCACAGAAUACUCAUAGCUCUUUUAUGCCUCUAGGGUUUCAUAAAAUGUUCCUGCCUCAUGGAAUGUUCACCUCUACUUUUUUUCAUUUGGCCAAUUCCUUCACCUUCAUGGUUCUGUUCCAGCAAGAAGCAAUACACCUCCCCACCCCACCCAAGACUCCUACUACGGAUUAUAUGCUGCCACAAGCCCUAUACCCCUGCCCGCUGUUCCACAGCAUUUACCCCACUGGCAUAGUAAUCAGGUUCUCCUAUUUGACUGUGAGACACUUAAAGGUAGAGACUGUGACUUUUAUCCCUGUGUUCCCAGAACCCAGCACAGGUUCUGGUGUAUACUGGAUGCUUAAUAUAUUAACAUUACUGUUUUUAUUCUGAGUAUCAUAAAUGCUGUUUUUUUGAGCUGUCAAAUUACAGGUCCCCCAAAUAAUCAAACUGAGGGAAAUACAGCAACCAUUUCUCAUGGUGGAAAAAAGAUUUCCUAUGGUGCAGUUCUCACUUACAUCAGUUUUUUGACUUCUGUCAGGUGAGAAAUGAAUGCUGGGGUGGUCUUGAGGUGUGUGCUGAUGUGGUAGAAACUUUGGAGUUAAUUAGAAGCUUUGGCUAAAGCUGAACUUCCUUUGUGGAGUUCCUGGAGGAAACACUAAAUUAACAGUUCAAGGUUACUAUUAGAAAAAUAGCCUGUUUCCCUUAGGUUAUGCCUCAGGGAGCUCGUUGUUCUCCCUGCCAUUUCUAAGAUGUGUCUACCUUCCUUUGGACCUGGCUACAUCUGCCACUUUAAGCCUAGUCUUUCUAACAAAGGUGAAAUCCCUUGAGGUCAAGACUGCUGAAUGCUUCUUUUGCAUAUCUUCCAAUAGCAGUAUAUUCUAGUACAUUCAGUUAAUACUGGUUGAAUUGAACAGCAGGAAAAACUGUCUACCAUAGAAGGAAGAAUCAGGAUGGCUUUUUAAGUGUCCAUCUUCCACAAAGCAGAAAAUGGCAUGAAAUUAUUAGUACCAUAGUACCUUGACAGUCCCAUGAAAUAGCUCAUGACAUCAUUAGGAAUUCCUACAUUUGCAAAUACAGCCAAUUCUCAUUAUUUAUGGUAGUUAUAUUCUAUAAAGCCAACAAAGACUUUGAAUUAGCAAAUACUGAACUAUUGCUCCUAGGAGAAAUAUACGGUUAGGUUCCUUUGAACCUCUGGUCAUCAUAUUUUUGUUAAGUGAUCAAUACAUAACCUUGUUUUAAGUGUG